CGGGGUGGAGUAAUGCUUGGGAAUCUAGCUUAUGGAGGGGGGUAACUACGGGAAACUGUAGCUAAUACCGCGUAGUAUCGGAAGAUGAAAGUGUGGGACCUUCGGGCCACAUGCCAUAGGAUGAGCCCAAGUGGGAUUAGGUAGUUGGUGAGGUAAAGGCUCACCAAGCCGACGAUCUCUAGCUGGUCUGAGAGGAUGACCAGCCACACUGGGACUGAGACACGGCCCAG
rnacentral:rRNA from 1 species